UGGACCAUGGCCAUGUGGAUCCAGACGCAGCAGCUGACGGGCGAUGCGCUGCUCCAGAUGCAGGCGCUCUACGGCCAGCACUUUCCCAUCGAGGUGCGCCACUACUUGUCCCAGUGGAUCGAGAGCCAGGCAUGGGACUCAAUAGAUCUUGAUAAUCCACAGGAGAAUAUUAAGGCUACCCAGCUCCUGGAGGGCCUGGUCCAGGAGCUACAGAAGAAGGCAGAGCACCAGGUGGGGGAAGAUGGGUUCUUGCUGAAGAUCAAGCUGGGCCACUAUGCCACACAAAUGCAGAAUACUUACGACCGCUGCCCCAUGGAGCUGGUGCGCUGCAUCCGCCACAUCCUCUACAAUGAGCAGAGGCUAAUCCGAGAAGCCAACAAUGGCACCUCGCCACCCAGCAUUCUCGCUGAUGCCAUGUCCCAGAAACACCUGCAGAUCAACCAGACAUUCGAGGAGCUGCGGCUGGUGACUCAAGACACGGAGAAUGAGCUGAAGAAGCUGCAGCAGACCCAGGAGUAUUUCAUCAUCCAGUACCAGGAGAGCCUGAGGAUCCAGGCCCAGAGAUCCCAGCCGGGGCCGCUGAGCCCACAGGAACGCCUGAACCGGGACACAGUGCUACAGCAAAAGCAGGUGUCCCUGGAGGCCUGGCUGCAGCGCGAGGCACAGACACUGCAACAGUACCGUGUGGAACUGGCCGAGAAGCAUCAGAAGACUCUGCAGCUGCUGCGAAAGCAACAGACCAUCAUUCUGGACGAUGAGCUGAUCCAGUGGAAGCGGCGGCAGCAGCUGGCGGGAAAUGGGGGCCCCCCUGAAGGCAGCUUGGAUGUGCUGCAGUCCUGGUGUGAGAAGCUGGCAGAGAUCAUCUGGCAGAACCGGCAGCAGAUCCGCCGGGCUGAACACUUGUGCCAGCAGCUGCCCAUCCCCGGGCCUGUGGAGGAGAUGCUGGCCGAGGUCAAUGCCACCAUCACGGACAUCAUCUCGGCCCUGGUCACCAGCACCUUCAUCAUCGAGAAGCAGCCCCCGCAGGUGCUGAAGACCCAGACCAAGUUUGCAGCCACCGUGCGGCUGCUGGUCGGGGGGAAGCUGAACGUGCACAUGAACCCACCCCAGGUCAAGGCCACCAUCAUCAGCGAGCAGCAGGCCAAGUCGCUGCUCAAGAACGAGAACACCCGCAAUGACUACAGUGGGGAAAUCUUGAACAACUGCUGCGUGAUGGAGUACCAUCAGGCCACCGGCACCCUCAGCGCCCACUUCCGAAACAUGUCACUAAAACGCAUUAAGAGGUCUGACCGUCGAGGAGCAGAGUCAGUGACAGAAGAAAAGUUUACAAUCCUCUUUGAAUCUCAGUUCAGCGUUGGUGGAAAUGAGCUGGUUUUUCAAGUCAAGACCCUGUCACUCCCGGUGGUGGUGAUUGUGCAUGGCAGCCAGGACAACAACGCCACAGCCACUGUUCUCUGGGACAACGCCUUUGCAGAGCCGGGCAGGGUGCCUUUUGCCGUACCCGAUAAAGUGCUGUGGCCACAGCUCUGUGAGGCGCUCAACAUGAAGUUCAAGGCUGAGGUGCAGAGCAACCGGGGCUUGACCAGCGAAAACCUAGUGUUCCUGGCGCAAAAACUCUUCAACAGCAGCAACGGCCACCUGGAGGACUACAGCAGCAUGUCCGUGUCCUGGUCCCAGUUCAACAGGGAGAACUUACCUGGACGGAACUACACAUUCUGGCAGUGGUUUGAUGGUGUCAUGGAAGUGUUAAAGAAACAUCUCAAGCCUCAUUGGAACGAUGGGGCCAUCCUUGGCUUCGUGAACAAGCAACAGGCCCAUGACCUGCUCAUCAACAAGCCCGACGGCACCUUCCUGCUGCGCUUCAGCGAUUCAGAAAUCGGUGGCAUCACCAUUGCUUGGAAGUUCGACUCUCAGGAAAGAAUGUUCUGGAAUCUGAUGCCGUUCACCACCAGAGACUUCUCCAUUCGGUCUCUGGCUGAUCGUUUGGGGGACUUGAAUUAUCUUAUCUACGUGUUUCCUGAUCGGCCAAAAGAUGAAGUGUACUCCAAGUACUACACACCAGUUCCAUGCGAACCUGCCACUGCCAAAGCCGUGGACGGGUACGUGAAGCCACAGAUCAAGCAAGUGGUCCCUGAGUUUGUGAGCGCCUCUGCAGACUCUGCCGGGGGCAGCGCCACGUACAUGGACUCGGCCCCCUCCCCUGCCGUGUGCCCCCAGGCUCACUAUAACAUGUACCCUCCGAACCCUGACCCUGUCUUGGACACGGACGGUGACUUUGAUCUGGACGACACCAUGGAUGUUGCGCGGCGUGUGGAGGAACUGCUGGGGCGGCCCAUGGACAACCAGUGGAUCCCCCACGCGCAGUCGUGACCCCUCGUCCCCAUCGUCCGCUUCUGCAUCCUCACCAGAGGCGUUCACUUUUGUGGACGUGGCAAUUCCACGAGCCGCUUCUCUUUGGAAACAAUACUCAUAAUGUGAAGUGUCCAUCCUAAUCGUGAUGUGUUUCUGUGCGUGGUGGCCCCCUAUUUUUUUCUGUGUGUG